rnacentral:rRNA from 1 species
GAAUAUUGGGCAAUGGAGGAAACUCUGACCCAGCGACGCCGCGUGCGGGAUGAAGGCCUUCGGGUUGUAAACCGCUUUCAGUAGGGAAGAAGCGAAAGUGACGGUACCUACAGAAGAAGCACCGGCUAACUAUGUGCCAGCAGCCGCGGUAAUACAUAGGGUGCAAGCGUUGUCCGGAAUUAUUGGGCGUAAAGAGCUCGUAGGUGGUUCGAUACGUCGGAUGUGAAAAUCUGGGGCUCAACCCCAGACCUGCAUCCGAUAACGGUCGAGCUAGAGUUUGGUAGGGGAGACUGGAAUUCCUGGUGUAGCGGUGGAAUGCGCAGAUAUCAGGAGGAACACCAAUGGCGAAGGCAGGUCUCUGGGCCAAUACUGACACUGAGGAGCGAAAGCGUGGGGAGCGAACAGGAUUAGAUACCC